rnacentral:rRNA from 1 species
GAUGAACGCUGGCGGCGUGCCUAAUACAUGCAAGUCGAGCGAAGCGGGGACGGGUGAGUAACACGUGGAUAACCUCCUAGAAGACUGGGAUAACCUCCGGAAACCGGAGCCAAACCGGAUACUGUUAGAUGGAUCCGCUGUGCAUUAGCUAGUGGGUAAGGUAACGGCUUACCAAGGCAACGAUGCAUAGCCGACCUGAGAGGUUGAUCGGCCACACUGGAACUGAGACACGGUCCAGACUCCUACGGGAGGCAGCAGUAGGGAAUCUUGCGCAAUGGGCGAAAGCCUGACGGAGCAAGGCCGCGUGAGUGAUGAAGGUCUUCGGGUCGUAAAACUCUGUUAUUGGGGAAGCGGUACCUGAUCAGAAAGCCACGGCUAACUACGUGCCAGCAGCCGCGGUAAUUC